rnacentral:rRNA from 1 species
CGGAGGAUCCAAGCGUUAUCCGGAAUCAUUGGGUUUAAAGGGUCCGUAGGCGGGUUUAUAAGUCAGUGUGAAAGCCCAUCGCUCAACGAUGGAACGGCCAUUGAUACUGUAGAUCUUGAAUUAUUAGGAAGUAACUAGAAUAUGUAGUGUAGCGGUGAAAUGCUUAGAGAUUACAUGGAAUACCAAUUGCGAAGGCAGGUUACUACUAAUGGAUUGACGCUGAUGGACGAAAGCGUGGGUAGCGAACAGGAUUAGAUACCCUGGUAGUCCACGCCGUAAACGAUGGAUACUAGCUGUUCGGAGCAAUCUGAGUGGCUAAGCGAAAGUGAUAAGUAUCCCACCUGGGGAGUACGUUCGCAAGAAUG